AUGGCUCCCAUGCCCAAGCGAAUCGUGGAGGACGAGCCGAAGAAGGCGGCGUACGUGACUUUCCUCGCCGGCUCCGGCGACUACUGGAUGGGCGUGGUGGGCGUGGCCAAGGGCCUCCGCGCCGUCAACUCCGCCUACCCGCUCGUGGUGGCCGUGCUCCCCGACGUCCCCAUGGAUCACCGCCGCAAGCUGGUCGAACAGGGCUGCCUCGUCCGCGAGAUCGUGCCCGUGUACCUGCCGGAUAGCCAGACCCAGUUCGCCAUGGCGUACUACGUCAUCAACUACUCCAAGCUCCGCAUUUGA
rnacentral:rRNA from 1 species